rnacentral:rRNA from 1 species
GAAGGUGUAUCUAGAAAGACAAAUUAGAGCUUGAAAAGUAAAGCAUUUCAUUUACAUUGAAAAGUAUAUUGUGGGAUUCAAUUUAAUUUGAUAAUAAAAAUUUAUUAAUUUUUUUUGUUUAAAAAUUUAUUUAAUAAAAUUAAUUUUAAAUUUAUUUUUUUUGUAUAAUAUAUUGAUCAAAUAAUUUAUAUAAUAGUUAAUUAGUAUUGUAAAAGAAUAUUGAAAUAUAUGAAAAAGUUUUAAAUUAAAAGUAAAUUUUAUAUAUUGUACCUUGUGUAUCAGGGUUUAUUAAUUAAAAGUUAAAAAUUUAAUUUUUCUCGAAUUUAAGAGAGUUAAUUUAUUAUUUAAUUUUUUGUUUCAUAAAAAUUUAAAAUAAUAAAUUAGAAAUGAAAUGUUAUUCGUUCUUAAAAAUAUCUAGUUUUUUAAGAAAUAAAUUAAAUUUAGAUUAUUAAUAAAUAAUUAUUUAUUUAAAUAAUAAGUUAUUAUUAAUAAUUAAUAUUUUAAGGGAUAAGCUUUAAAGUAAGUUUUAUAAUAAUUUUUUAAUUUAAAAAUUAUAGGUUUAGAAAUAGUCAUUAAUUAUAAAAAUGUUAUAAUUUAUUUUAAAUUAAAAAUAAUUUUUAUUAGUUUAAAUUUUUUAUUAAAAUAAUUUUUAAAAUUAUGUAAGAAUUAAAAUAAUGAUAAAAUUAGUAUAUUUUAAUUAUUUAAAAUAAAUAAAUUGAAAGGUUAAAUUAAGGAACUUGGCAAAUAAAUACUCGCCUGUUUAACAAAAACAUGUCUUUUUGAGUAUAAUUUAAAGUCUAAUCUGCCCACUGAAAAAUUUUAAAGGGCCGCGGUAUU